AGCAAACCGGAUUAGAUACCCGGGUAGUCCUAGCUGUAAACACUGCCCACUUGGUGUUGCCCCUCCGAUGAGGGGAGGCAGUGCCGGAGCGAAGGUGUUAAGUGGGCCGCUUGGGGAGUAUGGUCGCAAGGCUGAAACUUAAAGGAAUUGGCGGGGGAGCACCGCAACGGGAGGAGCGUGCGGUUUAAUUGGAUUCAACGCCGGAAAACUCACCGGGAGCGACCUUUGGAUGAGAGUCAGCCUGAUGAGCUUACUCGAUAGAAGGAGAGGUGGUGCAUGGCCGUCGUCAGCUCGUACCGUAGGGCGUUCACUUAAGUGUGAUAACGAGCGAGACCCCCAUCUCUAAUUGCUAACGUGCAUUCGCGUGCACGCGCACUUUAGAGGGACCGCCAGUGCUAAACUGGAGGAAGGAGGGGUCGACGGCAGGUCAGUACGCCCCGAAUCUCCCGGGCAACACGCGCGCUACAAAGGGCAGGACAAUGAGUUGCCACCUCGAAAGGGGGAGCUAAUCUCGAAACCUGUUCGUAGUUAGGAUUGAGGGCUGUAACUCGCCCUCAUGAAUGUGGAUUCCGUAGUAAUCGCGGGUCAACAGCCCGCGGUGAAUAUGCCCCUGCUCCUUGCACACACCGCCCGUCAAACCAUCCGAGCUGGUGCUGGAUGAGGGUAUGCUCUUAUGGGCAAACUCAAAUCUGAUGUCGGUGAGGAGGGUUAAGUCGUAACAAGGUAUCCGUAGGGGAACCUGCGGAUGGAUCACCUCCU
rnacentral:ncRNA from 1 species